GCAGAGUAGGGGGCUGCGCGUGGGGCUUUGGCCCCGAAGUGCCUGACCAACGGGGAGUUGUGGCAGGACGAAGCGACCGGCAGCGGUCCGCGGUGCAGUCUCCGCAUCCCGCUGC
rnacentral:ncRNA from 1 species